GACGAACGCUGGCGGCGUGCUUAACACAUGCAAGUCGAACGGAAAGGCCCUGCUUUUGUUGGGUGCUCGAGUGGCGAACGGGUGAGUAACACGUGAGUAACCUGCCCUUGACUUUGGGAUAACUUCAGGAAACUGGGGCUAAUACCGGAUAGGAGCUCCUGCUGCAUGGUGGGGGUUGGUAAGUUUCGGCGGUUGGGGAUGGACUCGCGGCUUAUCAGCUUGUUGGUGGGGUAGUGGCUUACCAAGGCUUUGACGGGUAGCCGGCCUGAGAGGGUGACCGGCCACAUUGGGACUGAGAUACGGCCCAGACUCCUACGGGAGGCAGCAGUGGGGAAUAUUGCACAAUGGGCGGAAGCCUGAUGCAGAAACGCCGCGUGCGGGAUGAAGGCCUUCGGGUUAUAAACCGCUUUCGCAUGUGACGAAGCGUGAGUGACGGUAAUGGGUAAAGAAGCACCGGCUAACUACGUG
rnacentral:rRNA from 1 species